AUGAAUUGCAUAAUAUGGAACUGUCGCGGGCUUGGGAACCCGGAGACAGUUCGGGAACUUCACCAUUUGGUGAGGUUGGAAGCGCCCUCCCUGGUCUUCUUGUCCGAAACGAAGAUUGAGGGGAACAGAGUAGCAGAUUUACGUGCAAGGUUAGGUUUUGAAGGGUGUAUACCGGUCAGUAGCGUCGGUUUGAGCGGCGGACUUGCCCUUUUCUGGUCUAGGGAGGUGGAUGUAAAGCUAAACAAUUUGUCUAAUCAGCAUAUUGAUGUUAUGGUACGGAAUGUGGGUAGCGACCAGAAAGAGUGGCGUUUUACAGGCUUCUAUGCCAAGGCGAAGAGAAGUGAAAGGAAGGAAAGUUGGAGACUAAUGUAA
rnacentral:rRNA from 1 species